CCGACGGUGAGGGAUGAAAGCUGGGGGCACGAACCGGAUUAGAUACCCGGGUAGUCCCAGCCGUAAACGAUGCUCGCUAGGUGUCAGGCAUGGCGCGACCGUGUCUGGUGCCGCAGGGAAGCCGUGAAGCGAGCCACCUGGGAAGUACGGCCGCAAGGCUGAAACUUAAAGGAAUUGGCGGGGGAGCACAACAACGGGUGGAGCCUGCGGUUUAAUUGGACUCAACGCCGGACAACUCACCGGGGGCGACAGCAAUAUGUAGGCCAAGCUGAAGACUUUGCCUGAAUCGCUGAGAGGAGGUGCAUGGCCGUCGCCAGUUCGUACUGUGAAGCAUCCUGUUAAGUC
rnacentral:rRNA from 1 species